AGUGAACGCUGGCGGUAGGCCUAACACAUGCAAGUCGAACGGCAGCACAGUAAGAGCUUGCUCUUACGGGUGGCGAGUGGCGGAUGGGUGAGGAAUACAUCGGAAUCUACUUUUUCGUGGGGGAUAACGUAGGGAAACUUACGCUAAUACCGCAUACGACCUACGGGUGAAAGCAGGGGAUCUUCGGACCUUGUGCGAUUGAAUGAGCCGAUGUCGGAUUAGCUAGUUGGUGGGGUAAAGGCCCACCAAGGCGACGAACCGUAGCUGGUCUGAGAGGAUGAUCAGCCACACUGGAACUGAGCCACGGUCCAUGCUCCUACGAGAGGCAGCAGUGUGGAAUAUUGGACAAUGGGCGCAAGCCUGAUCCAGCCAUACCGCGUGGGUGAAGAAGGCCUUCGGGUUGUAAAGCCCUUUUGUUGGGAAAGAAAAGCAGCAGGUUAAUACCCCGCUGUUCUGACGGUACCCAAAGAAUAAGCACCGGCUAACUUCGUG
rnacentral:rRNA from 1 species